AUGGGAUUUUGGGGUGCAUUUCUGGGAUUUUGGGUCCCCCCACAGGCGCAGCCCGGACCUUCAAAGCCACCAACGGAAGCUCCGCCCCCUCAGCCGCCGCCGGAGGAGCAGAGCAAGGAGCCCAAAAAGGAGAGCGGGGGGGGCAGCAGCAGCAGCCGCCGGAAGCGGAGCCGCAGCCGCAGCCCUGAGCACAGACACAGGGGGGGGCNNNNNNNNNNNNNNNNNNCCGGGGAAGGGGGCCCCGCAGCCGCAGCCGUGAGCACAGACACAGGUGGGGCCGACCCCAAAAUCCCCGUUCCUGGCCCCAAAAUCCUCCCUUCUCACCCCAAAUCCCCCUUUGCAGACCCCAAAAUCCUCCCUUCUGGCCCCAGAUCCCCAUUUCUGGCCCCAAAAUCCCCAUUUCUGGCCCCAAAAUCCUCCCUUUUGACCCCAAAUCCCCCUUUCCCGACCCCAAAAUCCCCAUUUCUGGCCCCAAAAUCCUCACUUCUGACCCCAAAUCCCCCUUUCCGACCCCAAAUCCCCCUUUCCGACCCCAAAAUCCCCAUUUCUAGCCCCAAAAUCCUCAUUUCCCAACCCCAAAAUCCUCACUUCUGGCCCCAAAAUCCUCUCUUCUCACCCCAAAUCCUUUUCCCGACCCCCAAACUCCCCUUUCCGACCCCAAAAUCCUCCCUUCUGACCCCAAAUCCCCCUUUCCAGACCUCAGAUCCUCAUCUCUGGCCCCGAAAUCCCUAUUUCUCGACCCCAAAAUCCCCAUUUUUGGCCCCAAAAUCCUCACUUCUCACCCCAAAUCCCGGAUCCAGACCCCAAAAUCCCCAUUUCUGGCCCCCAAAUCCCCCCUCCUGACCCCAUAAUCCCCCUUC
rnacentral:lncRNA from 1 species